GACUGUCCCUCUAUAACAAUAAGGGGGUGUGGUAGGUAGCUGACUGUCCCUCUAUAACAGUAAGGGGGUGUGGUAGGUAGGUGACUGUCCCUCUAUAACAAUAAGGGGGUGGUAGGUAGGUGACUGUCCCUCUAUAACAGUAAGGGGGUGGUAGGUAGGUGACUGUCCCUCUAUAACAGUAAGGGGGUGGUAGGUAGGUGACUGUCCCUAUAUAACAAUAAGGGGGUGGUAGGUAGCUGACUGUCCCUCUAUAACAGUAAGGGGGUGGUAGGUAGCUGACUGUCCCUCUAUAACAGUAAGGGGGUGUGGUAGGUAGCUGACUGUCCCUAUAUAACAAUAAGGGGGUGUGGUAGGUAGCUGACUGUCCCUCUAUAACAGUAAGGGGGUGGUAGGUAGCUGACUGUCCCUCUAUAACAAUAAGGGGUUGUGGUAGGUAGCUGACUGUCCCUCUAUAACA